GUUAGAAUCUGCCAUUUCUCU
rnacentral:snRNA from 1 species